UUCCUCUUUUCGGAUGAUAAAUCUUUCUCAGAACAUGGAGUGUGAAUCAAACCCAUGUUUGAAUUGAAAUUGAGAUACUGAUGCAAGUUCUUCCCUUUUGAAUCAGAUAGAUUCAUAUCUGAAAGAGGUUGACAAUAAGUUCUUUUAAAAUUGACUAUUUGCCCCCUCUGUUAGAGGUGUUCCAGAAAUGUCUGCGAUCGAGUAAAUAGCUCUACGAACGAAUGGAUCGGAUCGACUUGGAAAAUGGAAAGAUUUGUACAAGUUAUACGUUUCGUCACCACUUUGUGGAAAAUCGUUAGGUAUGAAUAUGUUAGAUACCUGUGACUCGAUUGGUGAAAUAGUAUCUCUCCCCCAAAAAACAUGUUUUUUUUUACCGAUGCA